rnacentral:rRNA from 1 species
UACGGGGGGGGGCAAGCGUUGUUCGGAAUUACUGGGCGUAAAGGGCGUGUAGGCGGCCCAACUAAGUCCGACGUGAAAUCCCCAGGCUUAACCUGGGAACUGCGUCGGAUACUGGAUGGCUUGAAUCCGGGAGAGGGAUGCGGAAUUCCAGGUGUAGCGGUGAAAUGCGUAGAUAUCUGGAGGAACACCGGUGGCGAAGGCGGCAUCCUGGACCGGCAUUGACGGCUAAAGCGCGAAAGCCAGGGGAGCAAA